UUAAGUUCAGCGGGUAGUCCUACCUGAUUUGAGGUCAAGUUUGUCAGAAAUAAAUUUCUCCCUCCAAAGCGGCACAGCAGAGCACUGCAUAGGCAUAGAUAGUUAUCACACCCACAGUAGCUUUUCCACAUUGCCACUAAUACGUUUCAGAGGAGCAGACCUCAAUCAAGCCUGCAAACUCCAUAAUCCAAAUCCACACA
rnacentral:misc_RNA from 1 species